rnacentral:rRNA from 1 species
GAUGAACGCUGGCGGCGUGCCUAAUACAUGCAAGUCGAGCGAACAGAUGAGGAGCUUGCUCCUCUGACGUUAGCGGCGGACGGGUGAGUAACACGUGGAUAACCUACCUAUAAGACUGGGAUAACUUCGGGAAACCGGAGCUAAUACCGGAUAAUAUAUUGAACCGCAUGGUUCAAUAGUGAAAGACGGUUUUGCUGUCACUUAUAGAUGGAUCCGCGCCGCAUUAGCUAGUUGGUAAGGUAACGGCUUACCAAGGCGACGAUGCGUAGCCGACCUGAGAGGGUGAUCGGCCACACUGGAACUGAGACACGGUCUAGACUCCUACGGGAGGCAGCAGUAGGGAAUCUUCCGCAAUGGGCGAAAGCCUGACGGAGCAACGCCGCGUGAGUGAUGAAGGUCUUCGGAUCGUAAAACUCUGUUAUUAGGGAAGAACAAAUGUGUAAGUAACUAUGCACGUCUUGACGGUACCUAAUCAGAAAGCCACGGCUAACUACGUG